GCCGGGAUGGCUCAGCCUGGUAGAGCGUCGGACUCAUAAUCCGAAGGCCGAGGGUUCGAACCCCUCUCCCGGCACCA
rnacentral:tRNA from 5 species